GCAGAGCAGACGACAUGUUAGCUGCAGGGAGUACCUCGUCUUUUUGGUUUUGGCCGUGAAGAGCUUCUUCGGGGAGGUGUUUGUGCGGUGCAGUGUUAUUGCGGGGGGGAUUGGGGAUUGGGAAAAAGCCCCCGAAGUCAGGAACAAUUUCUCCAAGGAGUCAAGGCAAGUUGAGGGAAGCCAAGAUUUCCUGGUUCAGCUCCUGGAGAGAGCUAACAAAAUCAACGAGAAAAUAGGGAAGAAACAAUCAAAUAAGAAUAUAAAAAGUAUGAGAGAAGCGAGAAAAUAAGAAGCAGUCAAAUCUAUAAACACCAGGAGAGAAGGAACCUAGUAAAUAGGAAUCCAGAGAGAAUAUAUGAAGCAAUGGAAAUGGAAUGGCCUUCUCUCUUUUGGGGUAGUGGCUGUUGAACCCAGAAAAACUAACCUUAAAAAAGAGAGAAUUGUGAUUAGCUGUGCAGGAAAAGUGGAAAUUUGGAGUGUUAACCGGUGAAUCGAGAUCAGUCUCAAGUGACGAAUCAAUAAGGGCAGGUGUCGGAUUCUAAGAAGACAAUUUCCAGAAUACUUCACGAAAAUGCGCCUAAAUCUUCUUUUACCUCUUUUUCUCUUGCCUCGUUUUGACUGAAGUUUUGACUUUCAUUUUUUUCUGGUGUGGCUGCUGCACGCGGCACGGUUUUUAAAGAGAGAAGGUGAGGAGUCGAGAGGGAGUCAGAGAGAGAGAGAAAGGAGAAGUUCCCGGCGACGUGCUGCUGCUGCUGGAAGGUGCGAAGUGAGCCAUUUGUGAAGUGAGAGGGGGGAGGGGUAUUGAGUUAGAGAGAGAGAGAGCUGCAGGCCCGAGAGAGAAAAUUACGUGGGAAAUUACGAGAGUGCAAAAAAUAUAGUGAGGAUAAGGAAGAGAAGGGGUGUGUUUAAAAAACGGUGCGGUGGAGGGAAGUGUGUUUUUGUGGAGAAGUUACAUUUAGGGGUCUGUGUGGUGAGUUGGGAGUGAUAAAGAGGGAGAGUGAGAGAGAAGGAAAUAUAGUGAGUGGGAAGGGCAGAAGGGCAGGUGUCUCUCGUGUGUCAUGGGGUGUUUCGGCAGCCAGGCCAAGUCAACCGAUGACACCAAGAACCAAAAGAGGCGCUCGGACGCGAUCACGAGGCAACUGCAGAAGGACAAGCAAGUCUACAGGGCGACACACCGGCUUUUACUCCUCGGCGCGGGAGAGUCGGGGAAAAGCACAAUUGUCAAACAGAUGAGGAUAUUACACGUCAAUGGCUUUAGUGAAGCGGAAAAACGGCAAAAAAUCGAGGAUAUCAAGAAAAACAUCAGGGACGCUAUCCUGACGAUAACGAGUGCUAUGAGCACGUUAACGCCGCCCGUGACGUUAGAAAAUCCUGCGAAUCAGAGUAGAGUUGAAUAUAUUCUCGAAGUCUCGUCUUCCCCCGACUUCGAUUAUCCUGCGGAGUUUUAUGAAAUCGUCGAAAACCUUUGGAGGGAUAGAGGGGUUCAACAAAGCUUUGAGAGGAGUAACGAGUACCAGCUCAUUGACUGCGCCAAAUAUUUCCUAGACAAAGUAGCCAUCGUAAAACAACCUGACUAUACGCCGACGGAACAGGAUAUUCUAAGAUGUCGAGUUCUCACAUCUGGAAUCUUCGAGACGCGGUUUCAAGUCGACAAAGUAAACUUUCACAUGUUCGAUGUCGGUGGACAGAGAGAUGAAAGGAGAAAAUGGAUACAGUGCUUUAAUGACGUGACGGCAAUUAUAUUCGUAACAGCAUGUAGUAGUUACAACAUGGUGCUUAGGGAAGACCCGACGAAGUUGAGACUUCGCGAAAGUCUCGACUUGUUCAAAAGUAUCUGGAAUAAUAGGUGGCUCCGCACAAUUUCCGUUAUCUUAUUCCUAAACAAGCAGGAUCUGCUUGCGGAAAAAGUAAAAGCGGGAAAGCACAAAUUGGAGGACUACUUUCCAGAAUUCUCGAGGUAUCAAACGCCAGUUGAACCCGGAGUUGUUGCGGAUCCAACGGAACCUCCGGACGUGAUACGGGCCAAGUACUUUAUCAGAGACGAAUUUCUCCGUAUAAGUACCGCAAGUGGAGAUGGAAAACAUUAUUGUUAUCCGCACUUCACGUGCGCCGUCGACACAGAAAACAUCAAGAGAGUGUUCAACGAUUGUCGAGACAUCAUUCAGCGGAUGCACUUACGCCAAUACGAGCUCUUGUGACUUCGUUUCCGCCCUCGUGUCCUCUCACCUGUCCAUGUCCAUCCUGUUGCUAUUGCUACUAUCGUGCGACGAAUUUCGAAUUGUUCAAAUUGACAAACAAGAGUCAAUGAAUCGAUUAAUCAAAGAGUCGCGUUGCCAAGUAAGCUCUAACCGCUAAAUUCGAAUUUACGAAUUCAAUUCCUAUAUUAUAUCCCUCUGUGGACAUCGCAAUUGCCUAUCGAUUGCUUGUCAAGAGCCUAUUACUACGAGUCCUUGAUCGACAAAGAAAAAAAAAAACAAACAAAAAAAAACAAGAAGGAAAAGAGUGCUGUAACCGCUAAACUAAAAAAGGUAUAUGGAUCGGCCAAGUCGAGAUUUGAGACUGGUUGUUGAGUUUAAGAGAUUUAGUGGCUCCGAAGCGAGUAGCAGAGUCCACGAUGUCCAAAUCCUCUUUUCAAUUCAAAUGCCAAGAGUAUGCUGGAUAUCUAAAAACAUCAAGCGAUUCUAACUUUAGAUGUAGCACCAAAAAGCCACAAAGUGCUCGCCAAGCCGAAAGCGAAGAGUUUUAAAGAUCAGAAUCUCUGUCGAAAGGGAAGGAGGACUCGACAGUGAAAUUUACCACGCCGAUCGCACAAGUUUUUUUUUUCGCUGUGCAGUGCGUCCAGUGCACAUUUAUCGUAAACGGUGUUUUAGAUAAUCGUAAGGAGAGUUUUUAAUGGUCGUAUGCCGAUUCUAAUUCUAAUGUUAGAUGCUUAACAUUGCAGGGUUCAGGAAAUUCUAGCGCCAAACCUUUGAUAUUCGAAGGCUGAGAGUGUAAAACUUUUAAGAACAAAAUAAUAAGUAUAGGAACUAGUCGUUAGGCGAUGAGCAUUAUUUAUUAUCAGUCGUUGUUUAUACGUAUAUUUUACAUUGGAUAACGGUUUUUCUUCUAUUUUUUCUUUUGUAUUAUUAAACAAAA